AACGAACGCUGGCGGCAUGCCUAACACAUGCAAGUCGAACGAGACCUUCGGGUCUAGUGGCGCACGGGUGCGUAACGCGUGGGAACCUGCCCUUAGGUUCGGAAUAACUCCCCGACAGGGGUGCUAAUACCGGAUAAUGUCUUCGGACCAAAGAUUUAUCGCCUUUGGAUGGGCCCGCGUUGGAUUAGCUAGUAGGUAGGGUAAAAGCCUACCAAGGCGACGAUCCAUAGCUGGUAUGAGAGGAUGAUCAGCCACACUGGGACUGAGACACGGCCCAGACUCCUACGGAAGGCAGCAGUGGGGAAUAUUGGACAAUGGGCGAAAGCCUGAUCCAGCAAUGCCGCGUGAGUGAUGAAGGCCUUAGGGUUGUAAAGCUCUUUUACCCGGGAUGAUAAUGACAGUACCGGGAGAAUAAGCUCCGGCUAACUCCGUG
rnacentral:rRNA from 1 species